rnacentral:rRNA from 1 species
UACGUAGGGUCCGAGCGUUGUCCGGAAUUACUGGGCGUAAAGAGCUCGUAGGUGGUUUGUCGCGUUGUUCGUGAAAACUCACAGCUCAACUGUGGGCGUGCGGGCGAUACGGGCAGACUAGAGUACUGCAGGGGAGACUGGAAUUCCUGGUGUAGCGGUGGAAUGCGCAGAGUAUCAGGAGGAACACCGGUGGCGAAGGCGGGUCUCUGGGCAACAACUGACGCUGGAGGAGCGAAAGCGUCGGGGAGCGAACAGG